rnacentral:rRNA from 1 species
UACGUAGGGGGCAAGCGUUGUCCGGAAUCAUUGGGCGUAAAGAGCGCGCAGGCGGCUUGGCAAGUCGGGUGUGAAAUCCCGGGGCUCAACCCCGUGACUGCAUUCGAUACUGCCGUGACUAGAGGUCGGUAGGGGAGUGUGGAAUUCCUGGUGGAGCGGUGAAAUGCGCAGAUAUCAGGAGGAACACCCGUAGCGAAGGCGGCACUCUGGGCCGAUACUGACACUGAGGAGCGAAAGCGUGGGGAGCGAACAGG